UCUUGUUCUCAGGGCGGGGUGAAACUCCCCACCGGCGGUAGCGAUCGAAAGAUCGAAGCCCGCGAGCGCUUCGGAGGUCUACUUCGGAGGUCAGCAGAUCCGGUCAGAUUCCGGAGCCGACGGUCACAGUCCGGAUGGAAGAGAGCAAGC
rnacentral:ncRNA from 2 species